rnacentral:rRNA from 1 species
UCGAAAGCCUAUCUCAGUUCGGAUUGGAGGCUGAAACCCGCCUCCAUGAAGUUGGAUUCGCUAGUAAUCGCGCAUCAGCCAUGGCGCGGUGAAUACGUUCCCGGGCCUUGUACACACCGCCCGUCAAGCCAUGGGAGCCGGGGGUACCUGAAGUGCGUAACCGCGAGGAUCGCCCUAGGGUAAAACUGGUGACUGGGGCUAAGUCGUAACAAGGUAGC